UAUAUAUAUAUAUAUAUAUAUACACAAAUAAUACACACUCAUACACACUCACACACACAUGUAUUUGCAUUAGCGAGAAGGAUGGAGACGACGGGUGAUCCAGGUAUUCUCGGUGAAAGACAAAUAUUAUUAGAAUUUUCCCAAGUUUCUUAUUUCUUUUUUCUUUUCUUUUUUUCCUCUCUUUCAACGCAGAAAAGAAAACUUUGUAUUAUCCUUGCGUGGAUUUCGAACGACCUUUCAAAGAAGAGACAUGCUAAAUCGUGCAAACGUUUGCUCGUUUAUUAACGAGCUUAAAACACUACGUAUCGCGCAUAAUAAAAUAUAUAGGUACAUACGCGCAUACACUUAACACACAUAUCUACAUACAUUUAUAUAUCUAUAUACAUACAUGUAUAUAUACACAUAUACAUAUAUACAUGUAUAUAUACACAUAUAUACAUCAUACAUAAAUAUGUACAAAUUAUAAUAAAAAAAGAGAAUGUUAAUCACGUUUCAGGUAUAUUAUACACCAAUUUCUAUGCGUACCGUUGAAUAUUACGUCACGUGUGUUGCCCGGUGAAGGUGUGUGUUUUAUCUUGUAUACAGUAAAUAAAAUAAAAUGGGAGAGAAAGAAAGGGAGAUAAGGGAGAGAGAGAGAAAGGGAAAGAGAGUGAGAGAGAGAGAAAGAGAAGGGUUGAUGAUAGGGUGAAUAGGAGAGGAGUAACCAAACGAAAAAGAAAUAUAGGAGAAAGGACGGGUAGUAAGUCGUUAAUUGAGAAAAUAAACCCCAUCCGAAUUUUCUGAGAAACGUCGUCUAAAAUUCACGACGAGUUUCUGUAGCUUCGAAUGAGAAAGAAAUAGAAAAAAAAUAGAAAGAAAAAGAAAGAAAGAGAGGAGAUGGUAUAGGAGGGAGAGAGAACGGGGUAAAAAAAACACACACGUGUUUCGUAAAGUAGCAGCAAUAGCAUUCGAAUAAGCGCAUUAACCGCGCUUCGUCUUGUCGUCUUCAAUGAUUCACCGAACGUUUCGAGCCAUCGGACUAGACAGCAGUCAUUCUUCUCUUCCUUUAAGAUUCUCUCUCUCUCUCUCUCUCUCUCUCUCUCUUUCUUUCUCUCUUUCCUUCUCUCUUUCACUCAGCUGUCUCAGCAGGGUUCAUUUCGCACGCGUGUCCGAACGAAGAGGAAAACUCGAAGCGUGCUAGGAAAGAGAGAGAGAGAGAGAGAGAGAGAGAGAGAGAGAGAGAGAGAGAGAGAGAGAGAGGAAAGAAAGGAGAGAAAGAGAUAUCUUAUAUGUUAAGAAGCGUGUAUGCUCGUGACGGAAAUAGAAGGAACUUAGAAGAAUUUAUUUUACGAACGAUGGAUAAUCAAGAAAAAAAUGGCCACGACGGCUCGUAAAACAUCCGAGAGACAACGGUUAAUGAUAUAGUACUUCAUGCAGAAAAGAAAAAAAAAGAAUGAAGAAAAAAAAAGAGGAA